rnacentral:rRNA from 1 species
CCUACGGGUGGCAGCAGUGAGGAAUAUUGGUCAAUGGUCGUAAGUCUGAACCAGCCAAGUAGCGUGCAGGAUGACUGCCCUAUGGGUUGUAAACUGCUUUUAUGUGGGAAUAAAAUGUUCCACGUGUGAUGUUUUGUAUGUACCGUAUGAAUAAGGAUCGGCUAAUUCCGUGCCAGCAGCCGCGGUAAUACGGAGGAUCCGAGCGUUAUCCGGAUUUAUUGGGUUUAAAGGGUGCGUAGGUGGAUUGUUAAGUCAGUUGUGAAAGUUUGCGGCUCAACCGUAAACUCGCAGUUGAAACUGGCAGUCUUGAGUACAGGAGAGGUGGGCGGAAUGCGUGGUGUAGCGGUGAAAUGCUUAGAUAUCACGAAGAACCCCGAUUGCGAAGGCAGUUCACUGGACUGCAACUGACACUGAGGCACGAAAGCGUGGGUAUCAAACAGGAUUAGAUACCCUGGUAGUC